GCCUGAGUGGCUCAGUCGGUUGAGCAUCUGACUUCGUCUCAGGUCAUGAUCUCACAGUUCGUGGAUUCGAGCCCCACAUCAGGCU
rnacentral:tRNA from 1 species